CAGCAAAGGAGAAGCAUUGUCUUCGGGUGACCUUGUUUUGUCGGGUGUAGGUAGGAUAGGGUGGAGGUGCGUCUAGAGUAGGAGAGGGUGUUGGUCGCAAUAAAGGGGAAGUAGAAGAAGAGGAGACAUACCGAGGUGAGUCCUUUGUUUAGUGGUAGAAGUAGAGGCGUAGCCGGCAACGUGUUGAUGCCCUUCUAGUAGUGGAAGUCUUCACGGGCCCCACGACUACCGUAGCAUGGCGGCGGCCUGUUCGGAAGCAACCAGCAGCGGCCGUCUCGGCGUGCGCCGACGGCUAGGCCAGGUGUACUAGUGGCGGGAAUUUAACCAAGAACGACGUCUACUUAGCUCGGGGCGUUCGAUGCGACCUGGUUCGGGGCGCGGGGCUACAGGUGGUUUCGAGGGCUACUCAGUGUACGCGGUGGUAGCCGCAGGAGGAGGUUGUAGUGGACGUGGUUUCCUUCGGAAAAAGACUUCUUGUAGGGAGGACGAGGAAGGAACCGGUACCAGAGUACCAACAGCCGCCUCUCUGUCUGCGACGGCCACGCCACCCAAGGACUGAAGGUCCACAGUGUUCGAGUGAUUUCAAGUGUUUUAAACCCAACAGACUAAGUGUUCCACUGUUUAUUUUCUCAUGAGAGCGGUAGGUUACUUGCGAGACGUACUACACAGAUCGUCAUCAUUGUCGGCCAACUUCGUAGCCGAACCAGUCCUCUUCCUCGUGAUAAUACCGUUACCCUAAGUGUGUAGAUGUUACAUCAGUCGAUGCCGUCUUUUCUAUGAUCACAUUGCUGAUAAAUCCAUUGUGGUCUCUAGGGUUUUGUUAAUUCCGGACGUUUGUAAGAUAGCUACGAGAUUAAAAGGGACCACGUAACACAAACGUGUCUUGUAUUUUAAAAUAAGUGGUACAAUGGUCUGGUAAGCACUUCUGUUACGAUAGUAGGACAACUACGUUGAAGACAAGAAAGUAAGGGAAAAACCCAAGUGUAAACGUGUAUAGAAUGAUAGCACGUAACGACUUCUACAGGUAACUUAAAUGAAACAUUUGCACGUCUUCACAAGAAACUACUUACUACGACAUACCUUUAUCAAUGUGUAUGAUUCUUUAAACUGAAAAAUCUCUUUUUAUAGAAGGGAAUGAUUCAAUGAUACGUUAUAAAAUUAAUACAAGAGAGAAAGAGUGAGACCGAGUUCACAGCUGAUGUUUAAGAGGACGACUUCUUAACAACCCUUCACGUGAAGUGAUGCGUAAACUACACCAUACAAAUCUUCCUAUUUGGAAUGCUAAGAUAGUACUGAUUAUUGUAAACAAAUGGGGAACAACAACCUACCUAGUUUCAUUACAUGUACCUUCAAGACUACCUCUCAAACGUGUUAGUUCUGAGCUCAAUAUCGAUCCACCACUACAAAAUCAACUUCGAACUUUCAAGCCAGACGCCCAUUUACUGGUGUAUCAGGAGAUUAAACUAACAAGCAGAUAAGAAGUUUGAAACUUACUAUUUACCAUGUUCCUAGCUAGAACGGAUUCACGUAUACAUGGUGAUAUCGGUAUAGUAAGACUUCAUACCGACAGUUGUCUCUUAGUAAAUAAGUAAUAACACUACCGGGAAAAUCGUCUCAACAAAAACG
rnacentral:rRNA from 1 species